rnacentral:rRNA from 1 species
AUCUAUGGCCAUGUUACCCUGAACACGCCCGAUCCCCUCUAUCUCGGAAGCUAAGCAGGGUCGGGCCUGGUUAGUACUUGGAUGGGAGACCACCUAGGAAGACCAGGUACAGUAGAUG